GUCACAGUAAGAGUAGCUACCACUUGAAUGGUUUUUAUGCGCUAGGUACUUUAAGUGCCUAAGAGCGUUAUUUAAUGUAAUUCUCACAAUUCUGUGAGUUAGGAACUGUUAGUUUUCCCAUUUUUACAAGUGAGAAACUGAGGCUUGAAGAGGUUGAGUAAUUUGCUCAAAGACACGCUGGCGGAAGUGGGAGAGCUGGAACCUCAACUAGGGAUCGAGCUUUGUAACCUUCACACUCAGCCUCUCUGAGCCUCACUGGCUCCAGUGUGGGACCUCCCAUCAAGGUGGACCCACAUCUAGACUGCGUAUGCAGGCUACCGAAAUACAAGAAUCAACGUGUUUAGAAAGGCAGAUCCUAGACAGGUCUUUAAAAGGAGGAACAUAAGGUGACACAGGAACGGCCAGUCUUGAACCUAACAAAUGUAUCGUGGGCUCCCCUCCAGAGACUCUGCUUCAGGAGAGGCGGGGUGGGGUCCGGGAAUGUUCAGGAGUAACAAGCAUCCCGGUCUCCCCGACGCGGUGGUUUAAGCACCCCGCGUUGAGAUGCGCCACCAGGGAGGUUGCUGUGCCCCGGCAUGGGGACGCUUCAGGAGGAAAGAGGGAGCGGACUCGGCCUGAAUCUCCUGACACCCGUGAAACGCGGGUAAGGAUCGAAGGCAUAAAGGGAACUUGGUAAAUACGAAGGUGUGACGACCCGCUGAAUUAAAAGUCCAGAGAUGCAUCAUCAUCGCGCCUAGUUCCACGGGAACUUGCUGUAGCAGCCGAGAGAGCGAAGCGCCGCGGCGGGACUGCACACGGCAGCAGCGGCGGGGACGCGGCCGUCGCGCUUGCGCAGACUCAGCCGCGUGUCACCGUCUCGGGGCUGUGUCGGUGCUGCCCCGCCCGGGCUGGCAGCCGCGCCUCUGCGGCCGUCGCCAAGCGGGGCCUUUUAGGAGCGAGGCGAGGCCUGGGCCCCUUCUAGUUUUCUGAGGCUUAAAUACGCCAAAAGUGGAGAAAGUCAACCCAGGGUUACCGGAAUAGUGGUGUAUAGAAAAUGUCUGCGUUUAAAAAGUUAAUGCUUUUAACACAAAAGAAUUCAAGAAUGUUUCGUGAUGUCCUUACAAAUCAUCUAUUACUUGUGUGUUGCUAAUUUUGUGCAAAACUGAAAAAAGGAGGUUAAGAGAGGAAAAAACCAGGUUGGAGGUCAGACGGAAACUUUGAAACCAGCAGCUCAGCCCCAGCCGGAUUUGAAAUGGCCAGGAAGAUGAGGGUGAGGGCCAUCAAUGCACUGGCUGCUGCAAUUUCAGCUUUUAGAAUGUUUUGAACAAUAUGCCUCAGAUCACGCCAAUAAUCGGAGGACCCUUCAUUGUUGAGUGUUAUGCCUCUAACGAUGUGUGUGGUGGAGAGGGGCUGUCGGCUUCACCUUACCAGGCUGGGUUCUGUGUGGUUGGCACUGAAACAAGCAUUGUUCGCCUCAAUUUCUCUUCUUUUUCCCAGUAGCCUAUUAAACCUCUUUGUUAAGAGACCCAGCUGCUUGUUUUCUAUCAAGAUAAUGACUGAAAAAUGCGCUUUAAAAAAAUCAUGGGGAACAUGAUUUCUGGAAGGUCUGCGUCCUCUUUCCUUUUGCUGUCAUCUGGCUGAUGAUGACUUUCAAUAAUCCUGGGAUAAUAAAAAUUCAUUUGAGCUUGUAGACCAAAUAUGGAGCUUAAAUUACCACAGAAACCAGGGACCACUGCCCUUCUUCUCACCUUAACAGAGAUUCUUCUUUCCUUCCCUGAUAUUCUUUUUUUAAAAAUCGAGGUAUAAUUUACAUACAAUAGUAUGUGCAGAUUUUAAGUAUACGGUUUGCUGAGUUUUGACAAAUGUUUAGUCCCAUGUAAGUAGCAUCCCAACUAAGAUAUAGACUAUUUCCAUUACCCCAGAAAGUUUCUCCAUUCCCUGUCCCUGUCUACCCCCUCUCCAGGAAGGAACCACUGUGUGGAUUGUCACCACCAUAGAUUAGUUUUGCCUGCUUUUGUACUUUUCAUAAAUAGAGUCACGCAGUAUGUACUCUUUUAGGUCUGG
rnacentral:lncRNA from 1 species